UAUUUUGGGAAUUCAGAGAGCAGUUCAGUAGAGAGAAGAAUCCUCAUUUUGGGCAGUCAUAACUUUUCACUGCAGCGUGUCCCUGCAGAUAGCAUCAGAAAGAAAAAGAAGCAACAACAGAAAAAAGUGGUUUAAUUUUUCCUAAGGUCUGUGUAAUCACUUGUCCUGCCCAUGCUUGCUACAUUGGGGUUGUGAAAUAAGGAUUGAACAGACUUGAGCUCGUGGAGGCACUGAAGAGUGAUAUAGAGGUGUCUUAAGGCAGCUUCCAGUGGGCACAGCGUGGAAUUCAAGGUAACAAGGAAGAGCUCCUGCCUCUCAUAGCCUGCGUAUUUCCAACCCUGCUGGCAGCACACAGCACUACUUCAGACGUCGCAGGUGAAUGAGAAGAGGUGGAUUUAAUGGGUUAGAUGUCUACACUCGCAAUGAAGCCAGACAGUAUUAUGGUUUCCUGGAAGUCUGAAGGAGAGAAGAGGGGAUCCGGAGAGCUGCCAGCAGCAAAGGCAUGCUGAAGGAAGAAAGAACUCGCGUAUGAGUGUCAGUGCCACACUCACUCAUCACGAGCGACAAUUUCAGCAAAAUCUCACCAUCAGUCACAUUAAAUUAAUGGUACUUAA